AUUGAACGCUAGCGGGAUGCUUUACACAUGCAAGUCGAACGAGUGGCGGACGGGUGAGUAAUAUAUCGGAACGUGCGCGGUAGCGGGGGAUAACUAACCGAAAGAGUUGCUAAUACCGCCUACUAUUGGAUCGGCCGAUAUCGGAUGAGCUAGUUGGUGGGGUAAAGGCUCACCAAGGCCACGAUCCGUAACUGGUUUGAGAGGACGAACAGCCACACUGGGACUGAGACACGGCCCAGACGCCUACGGGAGGCAGCAGUGGGGAAUUUUGGACAAUGGGGGAAACCCUGAUCCAGCCAUGCCGCGUGUGUGAGAAGGCCUUCGGGUUGUAAAGUACUUUUGGCAGGGAAGCGGUAUCUGCAGAAUAAGCACCGGCUAACUACGUGCCAGCCGCCGCGGUAAUAC
rnacentral:rRNA from 1 species